rnacentral:rRNA from 1 species
UACGUAGGGGGCAAGCGUUGUCCGGAAUCAUUGGGCGUAAAGCGCGUGUAGGCGGCUCGGUAAGUCCGCUCUGAAAGUCCAGGGCUCAACCCUGGGAUGCGGGUGGAUACUGCCGGGCUCGAGUCCGGAAGAGGCGAGUGGAAUUCUCGGUGUAGCGGUGAAAUGCGCAGAUAUCGGGAGGAACACCAAUGGCGAAGGCAGCUCGCUGGGACGUGACUGACGCUGAGACGCGAAAGCGUGGGGAGCAAACAGG